UACGUAGGGGGCUAGCGUUGUCCGGAAUCAUUGGGCGUAAAGAGCGUGUAGGCGGUCCGGUAAGUCCGCUGUGAAAGUCGGGGGCUCAACCCUCGAAUGCCGGUGGAUACUGUCGGGCUAGAGUGCGGAAGAGGCGAGUGGAAUUCCUGGUGUAGCGGUGAAAUGCGCAGAUAUCAGGAGGAACACCGGUGGCGAAGGCGGCUUGCUGGGCCUUACCUGACGCUGGAGGAGCGAAAGCGUGGGGAGCGAACAGG
rnacentral:rRNA from 1 species